UACAGAGGGUGCGAGCGUUAAUCGGAAUUACUGGGCGUAAGCGUGCGUAGACGGCUAUCUAAGUCGGGUGUGAAAGCCCCGGCUCAACCUGGGAAUUGCAUUCGAGACUGAAUAGCUAGGGUACGGUAGAGGGAAGCGGAAUUUCCGGUGUAGCGGUGAAAUGCGUAGAUAUCGGAAGGAACAUCAGUGGCGAAAGCGGACUUCCG
rnacentral:rRNA from 1 species